UACAGAGGGGGCAAGCGUUGUUCGGAAUUACUGGGCGUAAAGGGCGCGUAGGCGGCCCGCUAAGUCGAACGUGAAAUCUCCGAGCCUAACUCGGAAACUGCAUCGGAAACUAUCCGGCUCGAGGGUUGGAGGGGGGACUGGAAUACUUGGUGUAGCAGUGAAAUGCGUAGAUAUCAAGUGGAACACCAGUGGCGAAGGCGAGUCCCUGGACAACUCCUGACACUGAGGCACGAAAGCUAGGGGAGCAAACAGG
rnacentral:rRNA from 1 species